ACUCCGACUCCACAGCCCUGGUUUUGGGGACGCUGUAGAAAAGUGUACACGACAGUCCUUUUGGUAAGGAGCUGAAAUGGUUAAAUGAGUAUUAUAUUUUGGUGACCCAACCUACUUUUGCUUUUCUUUCUGUCGCAUAGAAGUGAUAAGAUUAUUUGUUGUGUGGCUACACUGACUGUAAGGUGGGACAGUCAGUGGUCUCCAGUCCAAAUAUCGUGAGAGUGAAAAGUCUGCUAUGGUGGAUGACCAUCUCUGGGUAAAGAAAGAGUUGCCUUUAUCAAGUGUAAGAUGGAAACUGAUAUCGUACAAGCAAAGAAGGAGGCUUGUUGGCCCAUAAUGUUGAUAUGGGAACGCAUAACUCAGGCAUACACAUCUAAUUCUCCACCUAGACACUGGGGUCUCCAAAAAGGAGACUUUGGAUUCCAAUCCUGGAAAUUGUCCUCAAGCAAUGAGAGGUUCAUCGUGGUCUGGGAUAAGGAUUGCUCUUAUUGGAAAGUGAAUUCUCCAUUUGAACAAACAACUCUGUUUUUUGUUGGGCCUCUGUUUAUAGAAAAAUCAAGGUCUGGCCUAUUUGUACCUCCUUUUUUUACUGUGAGAAACUCUGAUAAGGAUCUCCUAAUCCCUGCCGGUCAAGCAAGAGUGUCACAAAAACAUGCACAAAUUGCACAAUAUCUGUUAAAGCCAUUCACAACAAAAUUUCCUGAUUAUGCAACAUCACAGCAGUGAUUGUCUAUUUUAAGGUGCCGUAUUUCAAUAUGCCCUCAAAAUGGCAACACUUAUGGACAUGUCAGGUUUUAUGCAGACUAUUCAAUAAUCCACUCGCACACAUUCCUGGACUUUUGAAAAUGGCUCGUAGAAAGAAGGUGGAU